CCCUUAGAUGUUCUGGGCCGCACGCGCGCUACACUGAUGAAUGCAACGAGCUCUACCCUUGACCGAAAGGCCCGGGUAAACUUGUGAAACUUCAUCGUGAUGGGGAUAGAUUAUUGCAAUUAUUAAUCUUCAACGAGGAAUUCCUAGUAAGUGCGAGUCAUCAGCUCGCGUUGAUUACGUCCCUGCCCUUUGUACACACCGCCCGUCGCUCCUACCGAUUGAAUGGUCCGGUGAAAUCUUCGGAUUGCUGACCAAGAUCCAGCAAUGGAGCUUGGUUGCGAGAAGUUGAUUAAACCUUAUUAUUUAGAGGAAGGAGAAGUCGUAACA
rnacentral:rRNA from 1 species